rnacentral:rRNA from 1 species
GUUGAACGCUGGCGGCGUGCUUAACACAUGCAAGUCGAACGGAAAGGCCCAAGCUUGCUUGGGUGCUCGAGUGGCGAACGGGUGAGUAACACGUGGGUGAUCUGCCCUGCACUUUGGGAUAAGCCUGGGAAACUGGGUCUAAUACCGGAUAGGACCAUCGUUUAGUGUCGGUGGUGGAAAGUUUUUCGGUGUGGGAUGAGCUCGCGGCCUAUCAGCUUGUUGGUGGGGUAAUGGCCUACCAAGGCGUCGACGGGUAGCCGGCCUGAGAGGGUGUACGGCCACAUUGGGACUGAGAUACGGCCCAGACUCCUACGGGAGGCAGCAGUGGGGAAUAUUGCACAAUGGGCGCAAGCCUGAUGCAGCGACGCCGCGUGGGGGAUGACGGCCUUCGGGUUGUAAACUCCUUUCGCCAAGGACGAAGCGUUUUGUGACGGUACUUGGAGAAGAAGCACCGGCUAACUACGUG